CUAUACAUGCAAGUCGAGCGGACAGAAGGGAGCUUGCUCCCGGAUGUUAGCGGCGGACGGGUGAGUAACACGUGGGUAACCUGCCUGUAAGACUGGGAUAACUCCGGGAAACCGGAGCUAAUACCGGAUAGUUCCUUGAACCGCAUGGUUCAAGGAUGAAAGACGGUUUCGGCUGUCACUUACAGAUGGACCCGCGGCGCAUUAGCUAGUUGGUGGGGUAAUGGCUCACCAAGGCGACGAUGCGUAGCCGACCUGAGAGGGUGAUCGGCCACACUGGGACUGAGACACGGCCCAGACUCCUACGGGAGGCAGCAGUAGGGAAUCUUCCGCAAUGGACGAAAGUCUGACGGAGCAACGCCGCGUGAGUGAUGAAGGUUUUCGGAUCGUAAAGCUCUGUUGUUAGGGAAGAACAAGUGCGAGAGUAACUGCUCGCACCUUGACGGUACCUAACCAGAAAGCCACGGCUAACUACGUGCCAGCAGCCGCGGUAAUACGUAGGUGGCAAGCGUUGUCCGGAAUUAUUGGGCGUAAAGGGCUCGCAGGCGGUUUCUUAAGUCUGAUGUGAAAGCCCCCGGCUCAACCGGGGAGGGUCAUUGGAAACUGGGAAACUUGAGUGCAGAAGAGGAGAGUGGAAUUCCACGUGUAGCGGUGAAAUGCGUAGAGAUGUGGAGGAACACCAGUGGCGAAGGCGACUCUCUGGUCUGUAACUGACGCUGAGGAGCGAAAGCGUGGGGAGCGAACAGGAUUUAGAUACCCUGGUAGUCCACGCCGUAAACGAUGAGUGCUAAGUGUUAGGGGGUUUCCGCCCCUUAGUGCUGCAGCUAACGCAUUAAGCACUCCGCCUGGGGAGUACGGUCGCAAGACUGAAACUCAAAGGAAUUGACGGGGGCCCGCACAAGCGGUGGAGCAUGUGGUUUAAUUCGAAGCAACGCGAAGAACCUUACCAGGUCUUGACAUCCUCUGACAACCCUAGAGAUAGGGCUUUCCCUUCGGGGACAGAGUGACAGGUGGUGCAUGGUUGUCGUCAGCUCGUGUCGUGAGAUGUUGGGUUAAGUCCCGCAACGAGCGCAACCCUUGAUCUUAGUUGCCAGCAUUCAGUUGGGCACUCUAAGGUGACUGCCGGUGACAAACCGGAGGAAGGUGGGGAUGACGUCAAAUCAUCAUGCCCCUUAUGACCUGGGCUACACACGUGCUACAAUGGACAGAACAAAGGGCUGCAAGACCGCAAGGUUUAGCCAAUCCCAUAAAUCUGUUCUCAGUUCGGAUCGCAGUCUGCAACUCGACUGCGUGAAGCUGGAAUCGCUAGUAAUCGCGGAUCAGCAUGCCGCGGUGAAUACGUUCCCGGGCCUUGUACACACCGCCCGUCACACCACGAGAGUUUGCAACACCCGAAGUCGGUGAGGUAACCUUUAUGGAGCCAGCCGCCGAAGGUGGGGCAGAUGAUUGGGGUGAAGUCGUAACA
rnacentral:rRNA from 1 species